GUUGAGAGGAAUGUUGUCUGGCUCGAGGUCAUGGAGGAGGAGAGUACUCAGAUGAGUGAAAGUUUCCAAUGGAAAUUUACCCUCUUAACACCAAAAAAAAAAAAAAAAUUGAUUCUGGGACCAGGCUUCAUUUCCCCCAUC
rnacentral:pre_miRNA from 2 species